UACAGAGGUCCCGAGCGUUGUUCGGAUUCACUGGGCGUAAAGGGUGCGUAGGUGGCAUGGAAAGUUUGAUGUGAAAGCUCAGGGCUUAACCCUGAAAUGGCAUUGAAUACUGGCCGUGCUGGAGGUUUGGAGGGGGGACUGGAAUUCUUGGUGUAGCAGUGAAAUGCGUAGAUAUCAAGAGGAACACCAGUGGCGAAGGCGAGUCCCUGGACAACACCUGACACUGAGGCACGAAAGCUAGGGGAGCAAACAGG
rnacentral:rRNA from 1 species